UGUCACUACCACAUAAUUCUAAUUUUAAAAAAUAAAUUAUAAAUCCAAUUAAAUGCCUUACGGUAUAAACACAAAAGAGAUCUGUUUUUAAUUUUCUCCGGAAACUACCCACUUCCCCAAUUUUCAACUGCACUUCCACAUUCUCUAGGCAACAUAUAUCUGCGUAUUGAAAUUUCAAUCCCUUAUCCAUUAAUUUAUAUUAAAGGCAAUUAAGAAGGAAAAUCAGACAUCAACGUAUUGGUUUCUUUACAUCAAAUAUCUCAAUGUACCAGUCGAUGCAUUGAGUACCCCGUUCUUCAAGAGUUACAAAUUUUGAUCGGAAGGUAUUGGAAAAUAGCAGGAAGUUCAAAGGCUGUAAACAAGGUGUGAUGGUUAUGGUGCUCUAUGCCCCGAUCCCAAAUUUGUCGGUGGUGAAGAUGUGAUGUUCUACUUCCAUGGAGCAAAGAAAACUGAAUUUCCUAUUAUCUCAGCUGACAACCUCCAUAUUAGUGCAAAAUUAACUGGUACACAACCACAAGAAAGGAAGUUUGACUUUACAUGGGUUCAAACAUUGUCAGAUAUGUUUGACACCCAUACGUUAAUAGUAGGACCAAAGGAAGUGUCAAAAUGGGAUUAAAAUGUUGAUGCUCUUACUGUACAGUCACAGUGGAAUGGUGAGACACUUGAUGUCCCGAUAGAUGGAGAUACAAAAUAGAGCGUUAAUACUACUGAGAGAUCAAUGGUGGUCGAGGGAAUUGAUGAUCUUAAUAGCAUGAGGUUCAUAGUUUCUAGACUAAUGUAAUUGGAUGUAAAAGUAGUCCCCAUUGGAGAGAAGGAAAGCAAAGAUUCACAGCUAUCAGUUACCAAGAGAUGUUGUUUUUGCUCAUCUGGAGACACAAUUGAAGUUUUCGAAUAUAUAUAAAGAUGAUGUCGAAGGAAUUUUUGGCUAGACUUACCAGUUGAGCUAUGUUAGUCCAGUCAAGAGAGGGGUGGUAAUGCCAAUCAUGGGCGGGGAAGACAAAUAUCAAACACCAUCACUUCAUUCAUAACCCUACAAAAUGCAGGUUGCUUCAUCUUGAUGAUACAAAGAUAUUAACCAAUAAGGGCACGUUUAGUAGUGUAUAAGAAUACUAGUGAAUUUUUUUAUUGGUCGUUUAGUAGAGUGUAUAGGAAUAAUAGUGAAUUUUUUAUUAACAACCCCUUUGUUGUUUGUUAAAUAAAAUAUUGCUAUAAAUCUAA